CAAUAGCGUAUAUUAAAGUUGUUGCAGUUAAAAAGCUCGUAGUUGGAUUUCUGGUGGGAACGUUUGGCCGGCCGUAACGGUUUGUGCUGAAAUGUUUUUCGCCAUCCUUGACGAAUACUGGUUCGCCAUUAAGUUGUGUGAGCUUGGAGUCGUCAUCGUUUACUGUGAAAAAAUUAGAGUGUUCAAAGCAGGCUUAUGCCGUUGAAUACAUUAGCAUGGAAUAAUAAGAUAGGACCCUGGUACUAUUUUGUUGGUUUGCGUACCUAGGUAAUGAUUAAUAGGGACAGUUGGGGGUAUUUGUAUUCCAUUGUCAGAGGUGAAAUUCUUGGAUUUAUGGAAGACAAACUACUGCGAAAGCAUUUACCAAGGAUGUUUNCAUUA
rnacentral:rRNA from 1 species